rnacentral:rRNA from 1 species
AACGGAAAGGCCCUGCUUGCAGGGUACUCGAGUGGCGAACGGGUGAGUAACACGUGGGUGAUCUGCCCUGCACUUCGGGAUAAGCCUGGGAAACUGGGUCUAAUACCGGAUAGGAGCCAUUUUUAGUGUGAUGGUUGGAAAGUUUUUUCGGUGUAGGAUGAGCUCGCGGCCUAUCAGCUUGUUGGUGGGGUAAUGGCCUACCAAGGCGGCGACGGGUAGCCGGCCUGAGAGGGUGGACGGCCACAUUGGGACUGAGAUACGGCCCAGACUCCUACGGGAGGCAGCAGUGGGGAAUAUUGCACAAUGGGCGCAAGCCUGAUGCAGCGACGCCGCGUGGGGGAUGACGGCCUUCGGGUUGUAAACUCCUUUCGCUAGGGACGAAGCCUUUGUGACGGUACCUAGAUAAGAAGCACCGGCUAACUACGUGCCAGCAGCCGCGGUAAUACGUAGGGUGCGAGCGUUGUCCGGAAUUACUGGGCGUAAAGGGCUCGUAGGUGGUUUGUCGCGUCGUCUGUGAAAUUCCGGGGCUUAACUCCGGGCGUGCAGGCGAUACGGGCAUAACUUGAGUACUGUAGGGGUAACUGGAAUUCCUGGUGUAGCGGUGAAAUGCGCAGAUAUCAGGAGGAACACCGAUGGCGAAGGCAGGUUACUGGGCAGUUACUGACGCUGAGGAGCGAAAGCAUGGGUAGCGAACAGGAUUAG